rnacentral:rRNA from 1 species
CGUGUAGGCGGUGCGGUAAGUUGGGCGUGAAAUCCCCGAGACUUAACUCGGGUGGGCCGUUCAAGACUGCCGUGCUAGGGUGCGGGAGAGGGAAGUGGAAUUUCCGGUGUAGCGGUGAAAUGCGUAGAUAUCGGGAGGAACACCUGCGGCGAAGGCGGCUUCCUGGACCGUAACCGACGCUGAGGCGCGAAAGCUAGGGGAGCAAACAGGAUUAGAUACCCUGGUAGUCCUAGCCCUAAACGAUGAGCACUGGGUGUGGCCCCUCACGGGGCCGUGCCGAAGCUAACGCAUUAAGUGCUCCGCCUGGGGAGUACGGUCGCAAGGCUGAA